GAGGAUCAAUAUCGGAUAUUGAAUCUAUAUAUUUUCUGAAUCUAUAUAUUGAUGGAAUACCCCAGAACAACUUGGCGUCGCUCGGUGGAGCAGGAGCUAGGGGUCUUGGGCAUGACGUGGGAGGAGCUAGAACAGACUGCCCAAGACCGAUACAAAUGGAAAAAUUUGAUUCGAGCCCUACACCCCAGCAGAGGGUAAUAGGAAAGCAUGAUGAUGCUGAUGAUGAUAUAUUGAUGUAUGCUAGUAGAUUUUCUCGAUUCAUGAUAUUUGAGAUUUGAAACGAUACGCUGAUAUAAUAUCGUAGUAGAUAUAGAUUUAAGUCAACGUUAUACGGUUGGUUUUCUGAUAUCAAUUUAUAAUAUGAUCUUAAAGUAAUAAAAAUAACAUGAAAAUAAAAAUAUCAAAAAAACUUUCCUUCAUGCUUUUACCAGGCUUAGGACUGGCUACAUUAUUUUCAGUUUUUAGUAUUUUGUGUCUUAAUUUAAAAUUACAAAAUAUACCAAAAGAGUGUAGAUUUCAAAAGUUUAAUACAAACACAAGAAAUAAACUCAAUUAUUUGGAUUCAACUAAAAAUAGAAAAAUGUGUACUUUAAAAAUCAAACACAAAAAACUUUUAAGUAUUUAUAAACACUUGUCCAAAAAUUCUAGUUCAAGGUCAAAGCGCGUGAAAUUAAAUUCAACGAUGCAAAUAGGCUAUACUGCAUUCAAGUUAGGGUCGAAAGUUGAAACUUCUUUCCUUAAUUGUAUCCUGCUGAUACGCUAAGAAUAAUCUACAGACAUAUGGACUUAAAUAUAAGGUUUACAAUUGUAUGGAUAAUGCCUGUUUCUGUUUCAUUCAUCACAUGAUAUCGUGCGCUCACUCACUCUGGCCGAUUCGAUACGAACCAAACGAAUAUUGCUGAUAUUAACGAAUCGGUACGAUAUGCCGAUGCGCAUCACAUCGAGCAAUAUCGUGUAUCGGCUGAUAUCGAAAUAUAGAUUUCGAUUCACGAAUCGGUCCGAUAUGGCGAUGCGCAUCACAUCGAGCAAUAUCGUGUAUCGGCUGAUAUCGAUAUAUAGAUUUUGUGCGGGGCGAUAUCGGAUUCAACGAUAUUGCUGCGAUAUAUAGAUAUUGAAUCUAUAUACGAUUUAUAUCACCCACUCCUAUUAACGACGGUACGCUUACUCGCAUUUCAAAUUUGAGCCGCGGUUAGUACGCUAGACUCUACGCGAUGCACGUAUCAAAUUCAGAGAAUACACUUUUUUUUCGUAUCAACCUUCUUAGCGUGCCAUUUAUGGUAUUUAUAUGAACUAAACUAAUUUAAUUAUGGCAUUAUUUUUCCGGUUUAAUAAUUUCCGAAGUUUCUAAUGUAACUUUUUUCGUGAACGAAGGAAUAUGAAUAAAGCACGUGUCGGUUAGUACUAGUGAAUAGUUUUCAAUGCCAAAGUCUCGCCGAGGUGAGUGGCAUUUCUUUAUAAAAUCCUUUAUAAAAUUUGGCUGCGACUGAAACGCUUACGAAUUGUUCAAAAACCAUACACGUGCGCUUGCAGCUGAGUAGACAACGUCGCUGCCAGGCCGCGUUUAAUAGAGAUGUUCCAUGAAUUACAUCAAAAAGUUUUAUUUAAUUCCUAAUGUUCUUGAGACCACUAAAUUACAAACAUAAAAAAAAAUUGAUGUUGCUGUUAUGUAAAAAAUGUCUGUCGUGGUUUAGUUAGCAAUAUCUGUAUAACUGAUGAAUAUAUAACUAAUAAUACACAUAACUGAUGUAUAGCUCAUCUGGAUGAUGAACGUAAGUAUUAAGUUAAAUAAAAUAUCAUAAAAAGAAAUUCUAAUAUGGAAACGGUUUGUUGUUACAUGUUUUGAUAAGAAAAAUGUAGAUUGCGAGCCAUUGAGACUACACAACAAUGUAAUAUUUCUAUAAUGGGCGACAAGACAAACCACUCAUAGCUCACCUUUUCUCUAGCAGUUAUAAUAACCCAUAGAUACCAUAGUGGAUACUCACUUUAACUGAUCUCACUUUAAAUGUGUAUCACGGUUUCAUUGAUAUGACAGUUAUCACAAAGUUGAGGCCAGACUAUGUGUUUAAGAAAAAAAUAGUAUGAUUUUACCUAACAAUUCAGACCAGCCACACAACUUAAAGAUGGAAGCUGAGGUUUUAAGUAGUGGUAGUAGUUGCUGGAAUAUAAUAUCAAGGGUUGAAAGGCUAUUUCGUUUAAGCAACAUUUACCUUAAUAUGUGACAUUUUAUAUAUUAUUAUCUUUGUAAUUAAAAGUCCCUUUUAUUUAGUAUUAACAUCCAUCAUUCAACGUUUUUAAUUAAACUUUUUAGUUUGAAUGGCAAAUAGCUGAAGAAGUUUUUUUGUUAUAAAAUUUUAACCUUUAAAUGACUCUACUGUGCAGUUGCAAAAUUUUGCUUAAGCCAAAUGGCCUUCACCCCUUAAAAUCUUUAUACAUUUUCAGAAUAAUUUUCAUAUCCAAAAUCUUCCAGAUGUAUGUAUGUUUUUGUAAUCUGAAUGAAAACUUUAUAUUCAAAAUGUUUACCUUACAGCAACAUAUUACUUGCAAAUAAUGAAGAAUGUACCAUGCUAAAUGAAUUUAAUAUACAUAUAGGCACUGAAGUGUUUGAGACAAAUUACAUAUUACUCUUUGCUUUUUGAUGGAUUAUAAAUGUUAAUGUCAUUUUUCUGACAGCCUGGUACGUUCUUAGAUUAAUAAUUGUAUAAAUAAGCUUCAGUAUUUUGCCAUGGUCCAUUUUUAAUUUCACAUAACUUUGUUAUGUUUAAAUUUAUACUUAAGUUACACAUAAUUUUUUUUAGAUUAAAUUUCACUUCACAGCACUCUUAAAUGCUUUGUAUGUUAUAUGGUAUCCAUAUUUCAAGAUUAUCAUAUUUAGAAUUAUGUAGUCACUGUAAAAUGUUUUAAUAGGUAAAAAAGGAAUGCGUUUUGCAAAAUCAGCUGGCUUUGAAGAGUGUUGCGUAUUAAAAAUAAGCUAAAGUUAUUUGAAUAGACUAAUAUUUUUUUAUUUAUUUAUUGAGAUUCAAACUAACUAAAUUGACACCUAUCCCACUGUAAGUUGGUUUUAAUAUUAUUUGAAUUUUUCCUAUUUAAGUUUUUUCUUCCAUUUAUUUCAUUAGGAAAUUGUAAACAGAAAUGAAACAAAUUUUAUAAGGUUUGUUUUAUUGAUACCAUACUAAAAUAUAGUCCAAAAUUUAUUAAAAAAAACUUGCAAAGUUGCUAUUUACUUUCAUUUGUGUAAUUUUAUUUUCAUAGUUUUUAGGUUGGAAAUCAUGCUGGGCAAGAAACUUCUUUUUAUAUUUUAGUCUUUAACGUACUAUAUGUUUUAUCUACACUGAAAAUUAAACGUGAUGAAACAAAAUCAAA